UUAUAACUGAAAAGGUAAUGGAAUAAUUUUAAAUAUUUCACGUAAAUCCAGAUUCUUUUCAUUUCGUUACGUUUGGUAUUAUAUAAUUUCGCUUAUAGAAUUUUAAUUUCGUACGGGGACGCCGUUAUUUUUUAUGGGGUAUUUGCUGCAGAAGAAGCCUAUGAAAUUGGUUGACAAAAUAAGACAGAGCUCUGCGUUUUUCAAAAAAAAAAAAAAAAAAAUUAUUAAUAAUAAAAUAAAUAAAUAGGGUAAAGAACAUUCAUCAACAUUCAAAGCCUUUCUGCUUCUACCAGCACCGUUAUUUCACUGCUCACAAAAGUCUAUUUAAAGUGGCAGCUGAUGAUUUAUUUAUUUUUAAUUAUUAUUUAAUCUAAUUGCAUUUGGAAUACAAUGAGGCUCAAAAAUUUGCACGGCAUAUGUUCUACAUAUAACUGUAAAACAUUCUCGAUUCGCCACGGCCAUGGCCACCACACGAUAUGCGUGGAUAUGUAUAUUCGCCACAUCUUUUUGAUCCAUGUCGAAGAUCCGAAUCCGUAUCCUGGUUCUUGUAUGACCCCUGCAUUUGUUAUUGCAGAAAUUGUAAAACUAUGAAAAGUUUCAAGAUUUUUCAGUAAAUGAAAUCAACAUA